CCUACGGGAGGCAGCAGUGGGGAAUAUUGCACAAUGGGCGAAACCCUGAUGCAGCGACGCCGCGUGAGUGAAGAAGUAAUUCGUUAUGUAAAGCUCUAUCAGCAGGGAAGAAAAUGACGGUACCUGAGUCAGAAGCUUCGGCUAACUACGUGCCAGCAGCCGCGGUCAUACGUAGGGGGCACGCGUUAUCCGGAAUUACUGGGGGUAAAGGGAGCGUAGACGGGAGUGCAAGUCUGGAGUGAAAGGUGGGGGCUCAACCCCCGGACUGCUCUGGAAACUGGACGGCUGGAGUGCAGGAGAGGUGAGUGGAAUUCCUGGGGUAGCGGUGAAAUGCGUAGAUAUAAGGAGGAACACCAGUGGCGAAGGCGGCUUACUGGACUGUAACUGACGUUGAGGCUCGAAAGCGUGGGGAGCAAACAGGAUUAGAUACCCCGGUAGUC
rnacentral:rRNA from 1 species